rnacentral:lncRNA from 1 species
UCCCUCCCAGUACCCCCCCAAUACCCUCCCAGUCCCUCCCAGUUCCCCCAGUACCCUCAGCUCCCUCUUGAGCCGUUCCGGGUUGCGCACUGGCACCAGUUCGUCCAGUCCCAGGACCAGCACCUGCGGGGGAGCAACUGGGAGGAAACUGGGGGCACUGGGAGGGACUGCGAGGGGGGGAGGGGGGACUGGGAAUGGGGACUGGGGGCACUGGGAGGGACUGGAGGGGGGUAACUGGGAGGGACUGGGCUGUACUGGGAGCACUGGGCUGUACUGGGAGCCUGUGGUGGCCAGUUGGGGGGGUGCCCUGGGUCAUACUGGUCUGUACUGGUUCCUACUGGUUUAUGCUGGUUCUUACUGGUUUAUACUGGUUCCUACUGGUUUAUACUGGUUCUUAUCGGUUUGUACUGGUCGAUACUGGUUGAUACUGGUCUGUACUGGUCCUUACUGGUUUAUACUGGUCCCUACUGGUUUAUACUGGUUCUUACUGGUUGGGUUUAUACUGGUUUUCUCUAUCUUACAUUAGUUUUUACUGGUUUAUACUGGCUUAUACUGGUUCUUAUCAGUUUGUACUGGUCGAUACUGGUCCCUACUGGUCCGUACUGGUCUGUACUGGUCCGUACUGGUCCGUACUGGUCUGUACUGGUUUAUACUGGUGCUCACCAUGGUGCCGUAGGCCCUGUCCAGCAGCUGCCCCAGGCGGCUCUCGGUGACCCCGGGCUCGGAGCUCAGCGCGAUCAGCGUCACACUGGGGGCGGGGCCACGUGGGGACACGCCCCCUCCGUGGCCACGCCCCCUUUAGCCCCGCCCACCCCACAAGCCCCUCCCCUCGCCCCUUUAGCCCCGCCCCUUUCCCCUUUAAGCCCCGCCCCUUUCAACCCAACUCCGCCUUUAGCCCCGCCCCUUGGCCCUUAAGCCCCGCCCCUUUUAGGCCCCGCCCCUUUAAGCCCCGCCCCUCCCCUCAAGCCCCGCCCAUUUAACCCCUUCCUCUCCCCUU